GCCAUCCCAAUUACAAGACGCAAUAAUUUAGUGUACAAAGCUCAACAACAUGAGAACACACAAACUAUGAAUAUGGAGGCCGAGAAUAUGAAACUAGGUGAUGUUGUCAUUAGAAGAAUGGAUGCUGAGGUCAAUGACUAUCCAAGUUCUGGAGCGAAUAAUCGCCACACUCCGAGCCACCCCUAGAGAUAUAUGUAUGUAUUUAGAGGCGGAUUUGGGAUGUCAAGCUAAGAUCAAUGCGUUCGCUCACGAUCCGGCCUCAGGCUAUUUGUGUGUUAGUAAUAAGUAGUGAUAGAUAUGUGUGCUUUAGAUGUUUAGGACUAUUAUGUUAUUAUGGAAAUCUAAUAAUUAAAUGGAUUCAUCUUUUGUCACGAUCCAAAAA